rnacentral:miRNA from 1 species
AGCUACAUCUGAUUACUGGGUUUC